rnacentral:misc_RNA from 1 species
AAAUGAAACAAAUUCAACAAAAUCCAAUCUAUAAUCAGGUUAAGAUAAGAACAUGGAACGCAGAAGGGCAUAUCGAAAUAGCUAUAAGUUUCACUGAAAAAUCAGCCAAUUAACAAUACAAAAUCAAUAACUCAAAAGUGCGGGAAACACCACUACAUCGAAAUUGAAAUUAAACAAACAUUCUUCUAUUCAAUUUCUAAAAUUUAAAAGCCAAAUAUCCAUUGCGGGUCUCAUUCUCUAAUU